GGAAUCGCUAGUAAUCGCGGAUCAGCAUGCCGCGGUGAAUACGUUCCCGGGCCUUGUACACACCGCCCGUCGCACCAUGAGAGUUGGAAAUACCCGAAGCCUGUGAGCUAACUUAAAGAGGCAGCAGUCGAAGGUAGAGCCAAUGAUUGGGGUGAAGUCGUAACAAGGUACC
rnacentral:rRNA from 1 species